rnacentral:lncRNA from 1 species
ACAUGAUUUUAACAAAUAAAUGACAAUCUAUCUAUGUCAAAACGGAAGAGCUUUGAACUUUCAGUCAAGAUAUUAUUGACAUCAGUCACAAACAACCUUAUUAUCUUUUAAAUAUAACACAAUUGACAGCACAACAACUACAGUAGCAAGCAACAAAGUAACAGAAAGUUGGGCCAUUGAUAUCUCAUAAUCGUACAAAUGGAAUAAUGAGGUAUUCAACAAGGUGUAACUGCAAAUGCAAAAACAUAAAGUCAGUCUAUAACUUAAUAAAACUUGCUUGGAGUUGACUAAAUAUUUUCAUAUCAAAACGUGGAAUCACUUACCUUCCAAAUGAACAUGUAAAAAGAAAGUGUUGACACUUUACUAGAGAGAUCAACAGUUCGAGCCUGAUGCCACAGAAGGGUAGCUAGCAUGCUGUGGCUAAUUAUCUGCAAGAGAGGGAAAAAAAAUGUUAAUAUGUGAUUGUAAUCACAUUCGGGCAUAAAUAUACUUCUAAAAUACAUUAAAGGCAAUAUUGUUAAUCUAUACAUGUAUGACAUGUGUGAUUGAAUUUAAUAUAACCACCAUCACAUGCAUGGUGGUUUUUAAAAAAUUGAUACACACAUAUUAAAAUAUCAUUUCUUAUUGUACGACUGAUAUAAUAACUCUGAUAAAUUUUUAAAUUUCUCAUAUACAAGAACAUAAAUACAAUAUCUUACCGUGACAAGUUUGCUCAGCAGGUAAGGUGAAGAAGUUAAUCCGACUAUAACAGCGGCUCCAUAAGCAAUGAACAGCACAUAAACACAAAGCCAAAGUACCUUUUAAAAUGAAUAACAAUAAAUUGAUUUGUAAGAAAUUAAGGAAAAUCUGAAACAUCUAAAGUAAAAAACUAAAUGAUGGGCGUAAAAUUAAAUUUGUACUUUAAUUACUCACACUUUCUUUCCCUAAAAUGACACUAAGCGUUCGAAUGCCAAAUUCUCUAUCCCCAUCCUCAUCAGGUAUAUCCUAUUAAAUAUCCGAAGCAAGUAAAUUAGUAACUAUUAAUUCGCUCUAUAUAUGCUUUGUUGACAUUUUAAUUUUUCACGUUUCGUAAUUACCUUGAGAACUGAAAUCACAAAGCAGAAACAACACGUAAUAGCGACUGCAAACAUCAAUGUUCUCGUAAUUGCUAUUGGUCUUCCAAGUACGUAUUUCUGUACAAAUAUUAUUAGAUCAUAGAAUAUAUCAAACCACUUCAACAGAAAAAUACAAAAGGAAAUAAGAAUUUUAAAAUAGGUGACCAAAUUAUGACAUAAAGGAUUAAAUUCUAGGUCAUCAAAAAAUUUCCUCGACAAAUGACAAGAUGAAGAAUAAUCUGUAUCUAUGUACCUGAAUGUGUAUGAAGUAAGCAAAUUGGAGUAGAAGUCCCCUCUCUAGCACAGUGUACAGUGUAGUUAGAAAUGAACUUCUCUGCCACCUAAGAAAGGGAAGCUACAGGAUCGAGAAUAGGCAAUUACCAAUGAGAUGAAUUUUGACCAAAUAAAUAAUUUUGUGAUAUAAGUUCAACUUGAAAAUAAGAGCAAUCAUAUUUCCAUGGGAAAAUGAGGAUUACCCCCUUAUUGCUAAAAGAAACCAAGUGAAAUCUCCCUCAUGUUUCAAAGUAAGUUCAAACAUCCUACAGUCAUAACGGUGUUAUCUUUAUAUAUCAUUUUACUAUUCUAUCUCUAGUCUUGAUCUUAAGUAUAAAAUUUAAAUAUUUUGAGAAUAUAAAUGAAGUGAAAUGACUUAUAUACCCUUAAUGAUUAAAUUAAUUUAAUAAUGAAUUGUAAAUUAUGAAGAAAAAUUAGCUGGCAAAAAUCUUUUUCUGAUCCAAAAUUUUAAAGUAUAGGAAAGUCCAAAAAAAAAUUUUAAAAUUGUGGGGUUUAAGAUGCUUAAAAGUUAAAGUGCAUAAAUCACAUGGUUUAUGCGUUUUCAUAGACUUUCCUGCAUUUUAAAAUCUCAGACCAGAGAACUACUAUAUAUAAAUUCUGGUACAAAUUUAGGGUUUCAUAAUAGUGUAAAAGCCUUUCACAUCAUUAUAAAUCAUUUCACAACAUCAUAAAAGCCUAUGUAUUUAUUUAUGUAUGUAUGUAAGUGCACAUAUUUAUAUUAUGGUAUUUGUGUUUAGAGAAGAAACUUUAUUAUGUAGGAUAGAGCUUAAUUUGUUGGAUUUUAUGCAAAAGGUAAAAAAAAAUAUGAAUGCAUAUACCCACAAAGGUAUAUUUUUGGAUUAUUCAUCUUUUUGUAAUAUUCAAACAUAUAUAUUGCACUUCCGCUCCAAUGGUCACAUAUGGCCAAUGUUAUUGUAAUUCAAAUGGAUAAUUUAUACAACUAAUAUGGGUAUUUAUGAUUUUUUUUCCUAAUUGUAAUUUUUCUCCAUAAUUUACAAUUCAUUAUUAAAUCAAUUUGAUCAUUAAGGGUAUAUAAGUCAUACUUAUUUAUAUUCUCAAAAUAUUUAAAUUUUGUGAUUAACAUCAAAUAUUAAGAGUGAAAUAGUAAAAUGACAUAAAAUUAACACCAUUAUCACGACAGGAUUUGGACUUAUUUUAAAACAUGAGGAAGGUUUUUCUUAGUUUCUCUAAACAUCAUGAGUCCUAAUUCUCAUUCUCUCGUAUUUACUGUACAUAGAAUAGUGCAAAAUAUCGUUACGAUUUUUUUUAGAAGCUUUUUUAGGAUUGAUGUUUGUAUCAUACUGUGCACAUUUUGUACGCUUUCCUAUGAAAAUAUCAUUUUGUGAAAAAUAGCACAAGUUGAAACAUUAAAACUAACAAAAUAUUUUUUAAAUGUGGCAAUGAAUUUCAUGCGGAGACGGCACUUACAUCCACAGAAUAAGCACUUGCAAGGAGAAACCAUAUGAUGAGGGCCAAAAGAAACGGUGGAGAUCGAAGCAUAAUUCCUAUGGCCAGACUCUGAAAAUUGAGACCAAUGAAUUAUAAAUAACAAAACUUUAGAUGUCAAUAAAUACAAAUUUGUGAGAGCCAUUUUUCCUAUAUAUUAAUGAACAUAAAUUAAACACAAAUUUGAAAGGGGUUGUUAGCAUUUGCUUACCAUCAAUAAGGAUGAGGAAGCAAUUGCUAUUCCAGUUCGCAUGGACAGGUCACCAGAAGUAAGGGGGAGAUUAGGCUUGUUGACCUUUGAAAUAUGAUAAACCCAUUCAUUAAUUAGCAAAAGAACUAUGAACAACGAAAUAAUUAAGCAUAAUUACAUGUGCUGUGGAAUCAACAAAAUUACUUUGUGACUGCCAUUAUGUGUAUACAAUCUGAUUUGAUAAUUAUUCCAUCACAUAUAAUGUUUCGGGACUGGCCUAAUAUUUUAGGUGGUAUAAAUGAAUAAAAUUAUGACAAUUGUUUUGUCGUUUAGUAAAUUUUAAGAAUUUUUUAAUCAAAAAAAUAAAAAUGUUAAAGAGGAAAAUUCAUAAAUUAACUAAAAGACAAAAAAAAUUUGUCACAGCUUUAUUCAUUUAUCUUUUUUCGCCCGUCAUGUAUACAAGCCCAUAUAUCACCCCUUUUUCUACUCAAUGGGGGGAAAGUGCUUUUGGUGCUUUUUCGUCCAUCACAGAGUCCACAUUUCGGCUACUAAAAAAAUUGUCUUUGAUAUCACUUAUUGGGACACUAGGCUACGGAUGUCUAGGUGUCUAAUCUAAAGAUAAAUAUUUUAAUUAAGUGGAGUGACUCAUCUUAUAUUUAAGUCCUUGUAUCACUGAUUCUCCAACCAGUGUGAGACAAUCAAACCACUCAACAUAUAACAACAAAAUUAACUAUUUUUUUUAGCAUAAAAAGUAACUGUCGCCUCUAUUGAAAUACCUUGUCUAUUGCAACAUCAUACAAUUGGUUUAUAGCAACCUCAUAAACGGUCAUCAGCAAUCCGGGCACCAUGGCCUGAAAUACAUAUAAAGAAGAAUUAAUGUCAAUCAAAUAAAUAACACUACGAGCAGUUGUUUUUGUCUGUCACUUAAAAGUUUACCUUCAAAAUUCCGAUGAAAUAUGUGGGAGUCAAAUCAUCAAGAUUUUGUAGGGGAAGAAGAGAAACCGAUGUUAUAGCAAUUACCUAAUAAGCAUAAAUGAAAAAACAAAGCCAUAUUAAUGUCAUUACAUACUUUUCCAUAUAUAUAUAAACUAAAUUUAACAGCAUGUCCACAUUAAGAAAAAAAUGAGGACACUCACACUUGAGAAUAAUUAAUACGCUGUUGCCAGCUAGUUAUUCUAAAGUAUGGGUACCAAUACUUUUAAAAUAUAAAUUUAAAAUUUUACAACAUUGUAAAGAGUUUUUACAAUGUUGUAGUUUGCGGAAAAAUUAAUUAUAAUAUUAUAAAAUAUUGAAUCCGUGCUUUGAAAAAUGCAGUCAGUUGCACUCAAGAAACUUUGAUGAUUUGGUCCAAGAUAAUGGACUUUGUUAAAACACAAGAAAGAUAUUAAAGCAUAUAGUUUAAUAGUUUUUUCGAAGUUUAAUAAAGCAUAGGAUUAUAUAUAUAGAGAGAGAGAGAGAGAGAGACCAGGGAUAAGGUAAAUGAUAAUAAUGUAUAUAUAGAAGUUAUCUACUCUAGGAGUUUAACAAAAUAUAGUAUCAUGAACUAGAUCAAUACUAUGUAUAUGUAUGUGGAUUAGACUAUUAAGUAAUUAACAUGGAAGUCACAGUGCCCAUAAGUGCGAAUGGAAGAAUAAAACGGUAGAGUGCAUCUAAAUUCUUGAAGAAAACUUCCUGAGAGGUCGUACUUUGAUUAGCAUCCUCGGAUUUUGAUGCAUAACAAACUUGUAAGGUGACCGGACGGUUGAACAGUAAUUUACAGCUUUUAUUUCUUGUAUCCUCACUCUUUCUAAUUUUACUGGUUAAAUAAAAUGGACUUUGGGACCAUUGCUUCGUAUAACUGUAUGCAAAUGUGAAGUUUUUUCUAUUUGCCAUUUCCACAGUUGAUUCUGAUAAACUCUCCCUCUCCUUCCCGCUACAAGCUAUCAUUCUCGUAACAUAAACAUUCGAGUAAAUGACCUUUGCAAAAAUAAGAACUUGGUUUAUAGGAAACCGUAAUGUAAUGAUGUUAGAGAUCUUAACAUUUUGAUUAUAAGUUAUAUAGCAAAUCAUGUAAUACUCGUUUAUCAAAUAGUAUAGUAAUAAUUUUAUUAAUUAUAAAAUUCAUCGUUCAUUAAAUGAGGGAACAAAUGAAGGUGAAAUAUAAAUUAGUACCCUAAAAUUGGAAUCCUAUAAUUAUUGCAUAAUGUUAGAACCGGUGCCUUCAGAGCGCCAUCCUGCCCCGCCUUUAGCAUCCAAGCCCAGUUAUAGUAGCAAACAUAUGACUUCAGGAAAAUUCAGAUGCGUUUUACAAAACUAAAAAACUGGUCCAUUAAAAAAAGCAAAAGAUUGCAAUGCCAACGAAACCGCGUCAUCCGUUAAAAAAUUCAAUAAAUUAAUGUGAUGUAUACAUUUACAUGUUAGCAAGCAUAUCAAAACAAUACAAGGACAGUUUUAUCAUUUACUGGUGCGGUGCCCCAUUCCACCAGCAAUUGAGGUCAAACAAUUUUAGUUAGCCAUAAAUAGUAAUCCGAAAGGUUUAAAUUCAAAGUUUUAGUUAGCCUAGAGAUGGGACCCAGUUGAAAUAAAAAGUAUAAAUUGGAUAAGUUAAAAUUAGAUUAUUUGAAUAUAAAUUAUAUAAUUUAUUCAAUAUUGAUGCAGCUAGAUCCACCUUUUUUUUGUCUUAUUAUAAAGUCAUUUUCAAAAAAAUAGUGGAAAAUUAUUUGGGGUAGUUUGUAUUCUUUAUUUUUCAUUUUCCAAAACAUAAAAUAGUAAAACGGAUUUGGUUGUAGUGAUUAUUUGCAUUUUCAAUUGCAAAAUAAGUUGAACUUGCUUUCCAAAUAUUAUAAAGGAAUUGAAAACGGUAAUUUUACAUUUCCAUAUAUCUUAUCUAAGUUGGAUCGAUCCCACAAAAAAAAUGAAAUAAAAUAAUUCACUUAUAUUUAUAAAAUCAAUAAAAGAAUAUAUUUAUAAUUAGUCAAAAUAUAUAUGGUCUGACACAAAGAAAAAUAAUAAACACUCUACUAUGCAUGAAUAAAUUCUAUGAUAGUUACUUUUUUAGCUUCUAUUAAUAUAACAAUAUUACUUUCAAACAAAACUUUUUAAAAUUUGAUUAAUAUAACAAUAUUAUUUUUAGAAAAUUAUCAAACACAUUUAUAUAUUUUCUUUUCCACAUUUUAAUUUUAAGACAACUAACCAAAAGCAUUUUUAAGUUCAAUAAAAAUCAAUCAUUCUUCCUUUAGAAAAAAAAAUUCAAAAACAAUAUUUAAAAAACAAUACCAAAUGCGCCCAAAACUUUUUAGAUUUAAGCAACAUAUAUAUUUUUUAAAAUUAUGUUUUAUAAAGCAUGCAAACAAACGCGCUAUCAACUAUUUUUUGUUUUUGAAAUUGAAAACAAAAAGGCAAAGAAUGAAAAAGGUUAGCAAACGCACUAAUCUUCAAGUCGACUCUCAUGUAUCCAGAUUAACAGCAGCAUGUUAUAGAUGACAAUAUAUGAUAUGUUAUCUAUUUAUAUGCCCAAUUAUACGUUUCCAAAGACUCUUAACAGCGGUUGCCAAAAAUCAAAAUAAAGUAUAAAUUUAUUUAUCAAGACUCUACCGGGGAAUGAAAAAUAAAAUAGCAGUAUUACUGCCAAAUAAAUGUCUAAUUAAACUGCAGUAGAAUCAAAAGACUGUUACACGAUAAAUGAAUUAAAAAAAAUAAAAUAAAAUUUAAGGAAAAAAAUUUUAAUAGUAAUUUUAUUAUUCUUGAAUACAAUAAAGUAGUUUUACAUAUGUUUAUAAUAUGCAUGUGUUCGGUAAAAUGAUCAGAAAUUUAGAACGAAUUAGACUUACCAGACCGUUGCAAAUUAGGAUGAUACUUUGGAGAGAAGCCUGAAUGUAAAUGCAUGAGACGACUCAUGGUUUGCUUUCUGAUCUCUCCACACUCUAAUGAACUCAAAGGAGAAGCUCUGUAAAGAAGAUGGAACAGAGAAGGUUGAUCAGGCAUAUUUCAGAAGCUUAAUUGGUUGCUUGAUGUAUCUCACAGCAACUCGACCUGACAUUUUGAAUGCUGUAAGCAUUUUGUCUCGGUUUAUGCACUGUGCUAGCGAAUGGCAUCUCAAAGCUGCAAAGAGGGUGCUUAGAUAUGUAAAAGGCACGUGUAAUUUUGGCAUUAAAUUUACAAGGAGCAAAGAGUUCAAAUUGUUUGGUUACUCAUAUAGCGAUUAGGGAGGUUCCAUUGAUGAUAUGAAAAGCACUUCGGGCUACUAUUUCACACUCUGUUCUGGUGUUUUCUCAUGGAGCUAAAAAAAACAAGAAAUUGUAGCUCAAUCCACUGCUGAAGCAGAGUUUGUUGCUGCAACAGCUGCUGUCAAUCAAGCUUUGUGGCUGAGGAAGAUUUUAAUUGAUCUUAACUUGGAACAGGAGGAAAGUACAGAGAUUCUAGUUGGCAACCAAGCUGCUAUUGCAAUAUCUCAAAAUCCUGUGUUUCACGGGAAAACUAAGCACUUUAAUAUUAAAUUAUUCUUCUUAAGAGAAGUGCAGAAAAAUAGAGUUGUUAGUCUUGUCUACUGCAAAACCGAAGAUCAGGUUGCAGAUGUUUUCACCAAGCCACUGCCGGUUAGCAAGUUUGAGUUUUUCAUAACAAAACUUGGUGUUUGCAGCUCUUGAAGCAAGGAGGAGUGUUAAAAGAUGUGUUUAGGACUGUUGAUGUGGAGUCAUAGAAGUUGCUUCUGUUGAAUGUUUCAAACUUUUCCUAUUUUUUUGGUGUUGAUUAUUUAUUUAUUUUGUUGAUUCUUGCUGUGAUCGUGGCACAAUCUUUGGACCAUGAUUCUAGUGGGUUGUUAUUUGGCUUUGCUGUGUUAUUUAAGCUUUAAAGUGUAAUGUUUUCAGUUAAUGAAUUGAGUGAAGUUCUCUUGACAAUUCACGUGGCUCUCAUUUCCAUCUGUAAACUUUGUUUCCUUUUCUUAUUCAAGUAACAACAGUAUCCAGCAGCCCAUCAAUUCUAUUUCUCUUCGUCUAACUGAAGCCCUUGCAUGAAAACAUCUGGUAUUACGAUCCCCUUCUUUAACCCAGACAGCCCUUGAUGGCUGCCUCCACCUAUCCUCUUCCUCCUGCAAAAUAUUAUUAAUUUUUGUUUCUACUUUCUUAAUAGCCUCACUGUCUAUUAAAUUCAAUGGAGCAUUUAUUAAAUUUGUGUAUUAAUUCUGCAAUGCCACCAACAUCCUGCUCUUCUUACCAAAUUUUUCCCUGCUCCAAGCAUUCAACGCUUCCUUCAAAUUUUCCACUUUAUAUAGGAACAUAGAAAUAGGAUUGUUGCCAUUCAAAGCUCUAGCAUCAUGCCAUGAAAUCUCAAUCAGUCUUUUGCAAUCAUCAUACGAGGACCAAUAAUCCUCAAAAUAAAAUCUACUGCCCCGCCUAUUCUUACUGUCUCUAAUGAUCUUCCUCUGUUUGUAAAAUUCAAAUAUUCAAUCCAGAUUUGCAGAUAAUCAGAGCCCCUAGCUGCCAUAUGAGCAACCAAAAUAUUGGAAAAUAUGUUUCGCCACUGCUCAGAACACAAAACUCUAUCUAGCCUCCCUUUAACCAGACCUUUCUUAAACCUUCGAUUUGUGCAAGUAAAAGGCACACCCCUGUGGCCCAAAUCACAAAGACCACAUUCCAUGACUGUCUUUAAACUCUAAAAAUUGCACUUAAAUUCUAGGCGCUACCCCCUUCUUUCUCUUGCAGUCUCUUGCAGACUGAGAAUCUCAUUAAAGUCACCCUCAUAUAACCAUGGUAGAUGACUAAGUUAAGAAAAUCUUUUCCAUAAAUUCCAAGAGUGCGCUUUUUGAGCGUUGUCAGGGUGACCAUAAAACCACGUGAAACGCCAAGGCUCACCAUCUUCCCAUCAUUACUUCACAAUCUAUGUGGUGGAUACUGUGAGAAAUAAUAAAAAGAUCAACAUCAUCCAUGCACGUUAAGGGAAGUCCACCACUUCAACCAUUUUGAUCCACUGCAAAACAAUUAUCAAAACCCGGCUUUCUUUUAACACUUUGCAUUUGGAUAGUCAACAUCUUUGUUUCACAUAGAAAUAUAAGACACGGUCUGACCUGUUGGAGAGCAAAUUUAAGAUUUCCGAACUUUCAGUUCAGUUGUUCCCCAAGUCCCGAAUGUUCCAACAAAUGAGAUUCAUGGUUGUCGGCAGGCUGAAACUCAACCUCCACCGAUAUAUGAACAUCAUACAAGUCCUCUGAUUCACAGCUCCGUUAAAAAUUUAUUACUGGACAGAGAUAUCUCUAGUCAGACCUGGACAUUCAGUAGAAAUCGUUUUUAAAAGUUGAGCUUUCCCAAAUCUCUCCACUUCUUUGAGGACGGUGGGUCAACCUCCAUCACACCUCUAUCGCUCUUAGCACAAUCAUGAGUUGGCCUUGUUCCCUGUGACUUGCUUUGUGAGCCAUUUGCAGGGCUUACCAUUUUUCACAGGCUUGAUUGGAUGUCUUGAGCUUAUGAUGGGCUUUUUGUACUUCAUUCCUCCAGAUUCCCAUUAUCAUCAUGAAUUAAGCUUUUCUCAUAAGUUAUGGUAUAGGCCAUAGCCUAAAUAGGAAGCCCAAUACUACCACUCACACUCUUAUUCUCAACUCUCAAAUUUACUUCCCGAGAAUUAUCUUUGUCGGGAAUUGCUUCAUCACCGAAUUUAUUAAAUGCUUCACUUGCAAUGCUUCUUUACCUACAGUCACCAUAUUGUCUCCUUAGCUACCAACACUGGAUAAAGAGCCAUGAUCUGGAACAUUCCCAUACCCUGUUUCAUCUUCUCCCUAUACAAACGGUUGAGGUUGAAAUCUCUCUGCCAUGUCUUUAUGAUUUUAGCCAGAAACUCUGACUACCUUUUCAUCAACUGACUUCGCUUGAUGCCCAAUCUCCACUCGAUUUGAAGCUUUCAACAAAUCUAAAUCUACAUCGACUUUUUAAGCUGUUAGAUUCUUUAUCUUCCAAACAUUCACGAUAAAAAUGUCCUAUUUUACCACAAUUAUAACAAAAAUCGGGAAGCCUUUCAUACCUCAAAAGUAAAAUAAUGACCUCAUUUUCCUCAUUCGGUGAUUGGAGUUUUACACACUUCCUUAAUGGCUUAGUAACAUCAAUAAUUUCCCUCAAUUGAAGAAAACGCCCGGUAUUGCCACCAUAUGACCUCACCUGCACCUUUUCGAUCUCCCUAAUUUGUUUUUCUAGGAACAAAGCUAUCUCCUUGUUCAAUACAUAAAAUUGGGACAUUAUGAAUUUGUAUACAGAAGGACGCAUGAGUAAGAUCUAGUUUUGGAAGAUCUCUAACCCCUUUAGGCUCUGUUAGUACAAUAAUAGCAUUCUUAAAACUCCAAGGACCACCUGCAAAUACCCUUUUCUUAUCUCCAUCAGAGUUGAACUUGAACAAGAAUAAGUUGUCACCUAUACAUUUAAUCAUAACACUCUUCACCGUUUUCCACACAUUAAGUAUCACAAGCCCUUUGUGUUAACCUUCUUAUUUGUUAAAAUUUUACCUACCAGACAGUUACGCAUUUGCCUUUUCCCCAGCAUCACAAUUGAUUUGUCAAGUGAAACCACUUCUCCAUCAUCUUCUAAGAUUGACAGUGGCUAUUUCCUCUGUAUCCAUAAUCAACCAAGCAGAGGAAUACAACCCCAACGACUAUAUAACAAAUGGAAAAAGAAGAAACAGCCAAUAGUGCUAUUGAAAAUCAAGCACUGAAACAGUUCUCUAGUACCAUUUUGUAGAGAGCAUUUGAUGAUAUUCUUCAUUGGCAUCUUAGUUCUAAUCAAAGUUGGCCCACGGCUUGCUAUAAAAAAAAUGGUUGUCCAUAAAAAUUACAACAGGAAAUUGCCAUUUCGGUGGCCAUAGUAUGCCCUUUUUGUGCUCAUUAAUUUUUUUUUAAAUAUGUUCCAAUUCUCUUUAUAUAUUUACAAUCAAAAGUCAAUAAUCAGAGAAGUCUGCUACUAUCUUUCAGUAAAAACUUCGACUCAAACUCGUGCAUUCAAAUUUAAAUCCCACUUGUGUGCUCAUUAUUAACUAUAUAGCAUUGAGCAAUCAUCGCUAAAUGUCAAUAACAUUAGCUACUUCUAAUGCUAGCCAUUUAUUACCUAUAAAUUGAAGGGCGAAUAAAACAUGAUCCUCUCUUAAUUCGAGUUCUUCGAGUAAUAAAUAAAUUGAAGGGUGAAUAAAAUAUGAGAUUAGUAUCCUCUCUGAAUUCGAGUUCUUCGAGUUUUUAAAAUAUUGUGCUCAUGUAUUUUAGCAAUAAUAUAUAAUUAAGAUUUAACUUCUCAUAUAUUUCUAUUUAUUAACCAACAAUCGUGAAUUUAGUCCAAAAUAAAUUAAAGAUCAUGAGAGAGUCCUAGUCCUAAAAAUGAUGUAAAAAUUAGUAUAAUUUUAUCCUUCCCUUAAAUGUUUUCGUAUUAUUGCUGAAUUUCCCUUGGAAGGAUUUUUGCCAUUUUGGUUUUGGAUUGUAAUUAAUCAUUUAGAACAUAGAACAAACAAGGGCCUGAAGGAAACGAACAUGAUUUUACCAAAUAAAUGACAAUCUAUCAAUGUCAAAACGGAAGAGCUUUGAACUUUCAGUCAAGAUAUUAUUGACAUCAGUCACAAACAACCUUAUUAUCUUUUAAAUAUAGCACAAUUGACAGCACAACAACUACAGUAGCAAGCAACGAAGUAACAGAAAGUUGGGCCAUUGAUAUCUCAUAAUCGUACAAACGGAAUAAUGAGGUAUUCAACAUAGUGUA